GUAACACAGAACAUACAGUUACAAAGUAUGUACAGUAACAUAGAACAUACAGUUACACAGUACGUACAGUAACAUAGAACAUACACUUACAUGGUAACACUUAACACAUACAUUAACACAGAACAUACAGUCACACAGUACACACAGUUACACAUAGAACAACAUACAGUCACACAGUACACACAGUUACACAUAGAACAUCCACUUACAUGGUAACACUGUUAAGACAAACAUUAACACAGUACAUACAG